GACGAACGCUGGCGGCGUGCUUAACACAUGCAAGUCGAACGGAAAGGCCCUGCUUUUGUGGGGUGCUCGAGUGGCGAACGGGUGAGUAACACGUGAGUAACCUGCCCUUGACUUUGGGAUAACUUCAGGAAACUGGGGCUAAUACCGGAUAGGAGCUCCUGCUGCAUGGUGGGGGUUGGAAAGUUUCGGCGGUUGGGGAUGGACUAGCGGCUUAUCAGCUUGUUGGUGGGGUAGUGGCUUACCAAGGCUUUGACGGGUAGCCGGCCUGAGGGGGUGACCGGGCAAAAUGGGGCAUGAUGUACGCCCAGGACCCCACGGGGGGCCGGAGGGGGGAAAAUUGGAAAAAGGGGGGGAGGCUGGUGGCAGAACCGCCCGGGGGGGGAGCAGGCCUUCGGGUUGGAAACCCGUUUCCGCCGGGAACGAAGGGGGGGUGACGGUAAGGGGUAAAGAAGCCCGGGCUAACUACGUC
rnacentral:rRNA from 1 species